UAGGACAUGGUAAUGGCUGUGAAGUGAUCGUUGCUUCUGGAAGGACCUUGGAGGACUCAAGAAGAAGUAGAGCAACUUGGCUCUGACAGAACUGUGGGAACUGAGAGCAAGUCCUGCAUGGUGCCUGACUCACAUCAUAUGUACUCAGGAAAAUGGUGAAACGGCCCUGGAUCAGGACCCAAGAGCACCGAAUUCUAUAGGACACUUCUGUGGACAAAAGAUCUCCUCAAACCCUACAAAACCAUCAUAAAAUGUGUCUGCACCAGCACCCACAGGAGCUUCUCACAGAACACAGCGACUUUCCGGAUAGUCUUAUCUUUACUGUUCUAUUUCUGGGAACCUGGGACUCUUACCUUGUUUGAACUCCAGGGUGGAUGAGAACUCAUGGAUAAGACAGAGCCAUGAGUGGGUGGGACAAGGACUGCUGCUCGGAAGAGAGGCACAGGUACUCAGAAGACUAAGGGCUCCAUAGGCAGUCCUGUCUCUAUCUGCAGAUGAGACUCCAGAUGACAGGUUAGCCUCCACUGUUGCUUCCUCCCCUGCUGAGGCCUAUCUCAGCACUAGGGUCUUGACUGACAUUCCAAAUCCCACUCUGAACAGUUCAAGGGGUGCUCCCUGCUUAGCUGCUGAGGCAAGAAAAGCAAACACCAGGUCUCAGCUCAAUGGAUUGCCUGCUACUGUUGAGAAAGUUCCAGGCUGUGACUGAGCCCACCCAAGUGAAGAAACUUACUUCAAAAGCAGCCAGACCCAGGCCUAGCAACAAGCCAGUGUUUGCUAGAUUGAACUUGAGGUGACACACACCAAAUCCAUUUCCAGUUUGUGCUCAGGGGCAAGUCCUUGACUACACAAAGGGUGAAACACUUGAGGAAUUUGUGGACUGUCCAGUUAAUCAGAUAAAAUCUGAGAGAAUCAGAAAGGAGGUUUCUUGGAGGAGUUCAAAGUUUUACUACAAACAGCUGAAGCGCCCGCAGCUAAUCUGAGCUCUCCCUUCCACUCCCGGUUGAAGUUGCCUUCAGUAAACACCAGCGAUUUCUCUCUCUUGUCUCUAAAACACAAAGAGAGUCUUCAUUCUAGAGGGGGAAAAUUAGGCCUGACUCUAGCAUGAAAGAACUGGAUUUCAACAGGGAAGGAAUUGAUCUGUUUUCCCUUCUGCAUCUCAAUACGAUGUAGCCAAACCAACACUGACCAACAAAACUUAAUUACAAAGUAGAUUCAAACUGAGGCCCAGCUGACACUUACUGACCUCCACGAUGCACUCUGUCAUUUCUUACUUGUCAUCACAUUUAAUUAAUCCUUGCCACAAGUAGUGUGUGUGUGUGGGGGUAUUAUUAUUCUUGGUUCAGCAACCAGGUUCAAGGUCUCUUAACUAAUAUGUAACUCUAAAGGCUACCAGUUUCUAGGCCAAGGAUAUGUCUUUUCUCAGAUCAAUGUCUUCCACCGGCUUUCUAAAAUGUUAGCUCUCUGCCUUUUCUCUGGCUAACUCAGCCCCCAUCCCACCUCCACCACUGCACCCUAAACUAUUCUGAUAUAGUUACAUUCCCAGCCUCCUAUUCCUCUGAUGCUUAUCUCAGCUAGAAAGUAUAUGCAGGUCUUUUAAAGAAUUUUAAAAAUAG
ensembl:lncRNA